rnacentral:rRNA from 1 species
UGGGGAAUAUUGCACAAUGGGCGCAAGCCUGAUGCAGCCAUGCCGCGUGUAUGAAGAAGGCCUUCGGGUUGUAAAGUACUUUCAGCGAGGAGGAAGGCGUUGUGGUUAAUAACCGCAGCGAUUGACGUUACUCGCAGAAGAAGCACCGGCUAACUCCGUGCCAGCAGCCGCGGUAAUACGGAGGGUGCAAGCGUUAAUCGGAAUUACUGGGUGUAAAGCGCACGCAGGCGGUCUGUCAAGUCGGAUGUGAAAUCCCCGGGCUCAACCUGGGAACUGCAUCCGAAACUGGCAGGCUAGAGUCUUGUAGAGGGGGGUAGAAUUCCAGGUGUAGCGGUGAAAUGCGUAGAGAUCUGGAGGAAUACCGGUGGCGAAGGCGGCCCCCUGGACAAAGACUGACGCUCAGGUGCGAAAGCGUGGGGAGCAAACA